rnacentral:rRNA from 1 species
GAUGAACGCUGGCGGCGUGCCUAAUACAUGCAAGUCGAGCGAACAGAUGAGAAGCUUGCUUCUCUGAUGUUAGCGGCGGACGGGUGAGUAACACGUGGGUAACCUACCUAUAAGCGGGGGAUAACAUUCGGAAACGGGUGCUAAUACCGCAUAAUAUCUUCUUCCGCAUGGAAGAAGAUUGAAAGACGGCUCUGCUGUCACUUAUAGAUGACCUUGCAGUGCAUUAGUUAGUUGGUGGGGUAACGGCCUACCAAGACGAUGAUGCAUAGCCGACCUGAGAGGGUGAUCGGCCACAUUGGGACUGAGACACGGCCCAAACUCCUACGGGAGGCAGCAGUAGGGAAUCUUCCGCAAUGGGCGAAAGCCUGACGGAGCAAUGCCGCGUGAGUGAAGAAGGCCUUCGGGUCGUAAAACUCUGUUAUAAGAGAAGAACAAAUUGUAGAGUAACUGCUACAGUCUUGACGGUAUCUUAUCAGAAAGCCACGGCUAACUACGUGCCAGCCGCCGCGGUAA